rnacentral:rRNA from 1 species
AUGCGACGAAGAAACUUCAUCCAGUGCAUCCAAUCGGCAGGCGCCCUCAAGACUAGCCACGCCGACAAGGCGGCCGUUGUGCACGAGCACUUCUCCUUGCUGGGGCAAAAAAGAAACCGGUCUCGCACGAUCAACUGGGAGGCGCUUGAGCUACCAAGACUGCAAGCUGGCGGACUCGACAACCCCUUCUCUGAGGUAGAGGUUUGGGCAGUGAUUUGUGCAUCCCCGUCAGAGAAGGCGCCAGGCCCCGAUGGCUUCAACGGCGCUUUCUUUAGAGCAUGCUGGCCAACUAUCAAGGUGGAUGUCCAUCAGGCUCGCAGGUGUUUUGGAUCAGCUGAUCUCUCCAGCAUAGAGCGCGUUCCAAAGGAAGAAAGGAAUCCAUGA